rnacentral:tRNA from 1 species
GGGCCCUAUGGGGCGUCCGCGGACUUUUAAUCCAUUGGUUGUGGGUUCGAGUCCCACAGGGCCUA